AGUGAACGCUGGCGGCAGGCCUAAUACAUGCAAGUCGAACGGCAGCACAGCAGAGCUUGCUCUGUGGGUGGCGAGUGGCGGACGGGUGAGGAAUACGUGGGAAUCUGCCCAGUCGUGGGGAUAACGUAGGGAAACUUACGCUAAUACCGCAUGCGCCCUUCGGGGGAAAGCCGGGGACCUUCGGGCCUGGCGCGAUUGGAUGAGCCCACGUCGGAUUAGCUAGUUGGCGGGGUAAAGGCCCACCAAGGCGACGAUCCGUAGCUGGUCUGAGAGGAUGAUCAGCCACACUGGAACUGAGACACGGUCCAGACUCCUACGGGAGGCAGCAGUAGGGAAUAUUGGACAAUGGGCGCAAGCCUGAUCCAGCCAUGCCGCGUGAGUGAAGAAGGCCCUCGGGUUGUAAAGCUCUUUGUCCGGAAAGAAAGCGCCGGGUUAAUACCCUGGUGUCCUGACGGUACCGGAAGAAUAAGCACCGGCUAACUUCGUGCCAGCAGCCGCGGUAAU
rnacentral:rRNA from 1 species